CCCGCACAAGCGGUGGAGCAUGUGGUUUAAUUCGAUGCAACGCGAAGAACCUUACCUACUCUUGACAUCCAGAGAACUUUCCAGAGAUGGAUUGGUGCCUUCGGGAACUCUGAGACAGGUGCUGCAUGGCUGUCGUCAGCUCGUGUUGUGAAAUGUUGGGUUAAGUCCCGCAACGAGCGCAACCCUUAUCCUUUGUUGCCAGCGGUCCGGCCGGGAACUCAAAGGAGACUGCCAGUGAUAAACUGGAGGAAGGUGGGGAUGACGUCAAGUCAUCAUGGCCCUUACGAGUAGGGCUACACACGUGCUACAAUGGCGCAUACAAAGAGAAGCGACCUCGCGAGAGCAAGCGGACCUCAUAAAGUGCGUCGUAGUCCGGAUUGGAGUCUGCAACU
rnacentral:rRNA from 1 species